CCUACGGGAGGCAGCAGUGGGGAAUAUUGCACAAUGGGCGAAAGCCUGAUGCAGCGACGCCGCGUGAGGGAUGACGGCCUUCGGGUUGUAAACCUCUUUCAGCAGGGAAGAAGCGCAAGUGACGGUACCUGCAGAAGAAGCACCGGCUAACUACGUGCCAGCAGCCGCGGUAAUACGUAGGGUGCGAGCGUUGUCCGGAAUUAUUGGGCGUAAAGAGCUCGUAGGCGGCUUGUCACGUCGGGUGUGAAAGCCCGGGGCUUAACCCCGGGUCUGCAUUCGAUACGGGCAGGCUUGAGUGUGGUAGGGGAGAUCGGAAUUCCUGGUGUAGCGGUGAAAUGCGCAGAUAUCAGGAGGAACACCGGUGGCGAAGGCGGAUCUCUGGGCCAUUACUGACGCUGAGGAGCGAAAGCGUGGGGAGCGAACAGGAUUAGAUACCCUGGUAGUCCACGCCGUAAACGUUGGGAACUAGGUGUUGGCGACAUUCCACGUCGUCGGUGCCGCNGCUACGACAUUAACGUUACCCGUCCGUCGGGAGGUACGGCCGCGACGGACGUAAACGUUAAAGUAAGUAGUACGACGCGAGACGACGCGACGACGACGACGACGGAGGAGGAG
rnacentral:rRNA from 1 species